GAUGAAGAACGUAGCGAAAUGCGAUAAGUAAUGUGAAUUGCAGAAUUCAGUGAAUCAUCGAAUCUUUGAACGCACAUUGCGCCCGCCAGUAUUCUGGCGGGCAUGCCUGUUCGAGCGUCAUUUCAACCCUCAGGCCCCAGUGCCUGGUGUUGGGGAUCGGCCCAGCCUUCCUGUAAGGCCGCCGGCCCCGAAAUCUAGUGGCGGUCUCGCUGUAGUCCUCCUCUGCGUAGUAGCACAACCUCGCAGUUGGAACGCGGCGGUGGCCAUGCCGUUAAACACCCCACUUCUGAAAGUUGACCUCGGAUCAGGUAGGAAUACCCGCUGAACUUAAGCAUAUCAAUAAGCGGAGGA
rnacentral:misc_RNA from 1 species